rnacentral:rRNA from 1 species
GACGAACGCUGGCGGCGUGCUUAACACAUGCAAGUCGAACGGAAAGGCCCCCACCUUGGUGGGGGUGCUCGAGUGGCGAACGGGUGAGUAACACGUGGGUGAUCUGCCCUGUACUUCGGGAUAAGCUUGGGAAACUGGGUCUAAUACCGGAUAGGACCAUGGUUUAGUGUCUCAUGGUGGAAAAAUUAUUGUUUUGGUGCAGGAUGAGCUCGCGGCCUAUCAGCUUGUUGGUGGGGUAAUGGCCUACCAAGGCGUCGACGGGUAGCCGGCCUGAGAGGGUGGACGGCCACAUUGGGACUGAGAUACGGCCCAGACUCCUACGGGAGGCAGCAGUGGGGAAUAGUGCACAAUGGGCGCAAGCCUGAUGCAGCGACGCCGCGUGGGGGAUGACGGCCUUCGGGUUGUAAACUCCUUUCGUUAGGGACGAAGCCACACCUUUUUUGGGUGUGGUGACGGUACCUUUGUGAAGAAGCACCGGCUAACUACGUG